ACGAAGGACCCAAGCGUUAUCCGGAUUUAUUGGGUUUAAAGGGUGCGUAGGCGGAUUUGUAAGUCAGUGGUGAAAUCCUGCAGCUUAACUGCAGAACUGCCAUUGAAACUGCUUAUCUUGAGUACAUUUGAGGCGGGCGGAGUGUGUCAUGUAGCGGUGAAAUGCUUAGAUAUGACACAGAACACCGAUUGCGAAGGCAGCUCGCUAAACUGUAACUGACGCUGAUGCACGAAAGCGUGGGGAUCCAACAGGA
rnacentral:rRNA from 1 species